AAAAACAAUGUUACUUCUAGGAAAAAAAAAACUUUCUUUAUAUCUCUAAACCACUUUUGUCUAAUGCUGAUCUAUCAAUUGGAGUGGCUAAUAGAACCCUUUGGUUUUUUCAUUUACUUUCAACAUCUACAUUCCUAACCAAAGCUAGCCUCAUUUUGUUAUCACGUUUUGCCAACAGGUUUUUGGAGCACAUCUUUUUGCCAAUGCACUGUCAAGCUACUGUCUUUUUGCCAAUGCACUGUCAAGCUACUAUCUUUUUGCAAGAAGACUGCCUUUUUGAAAAGCUACAUUACAACCAUAUGUGACGCCCCAUACUUUAAAAAGUAUUUUGUCAACCAUGGAGUCGCACAACUACAACAUGCAUGAUUGCUACUAAGAAAAUACUUUUUCUGUAAAUAUGUGGUAUAAAUGAUGUAUAUAUGACAGUGCAAUCAUCAAUGUAAUAGACAAAUGUAUAUAUGCAUAAACAGUGCAAACUUAUUUUAGUUGUCUUAUACUAUCUUACCUCAUUACUUACGAUAAUCUUCUUACUGUUGGAUAUUUUAAAUCAUCCCUGAAUAUUGUGAAAGUGAACGAUUUUU